UAGAGGAAGUAAAAGUCGUAACAAGGUUUCCGUAGGUGAACCUGCGGAAGGAUCAUUAUUGAAUGAACUUGGUGUGGUUGUAGCUGGCCCUCUCGUCGGGGGCAUGUGCACAUCCGCCAUCUUUAUCUCUCCACCUGUGCACAUCUUGUAGACCUGGAUAGACUUUCCGAGGCAACUCGGUCGGGAGGACUGCUGUGCGUCACUGCCGGCUUUCCUUGCAUAUCUAGGCCUAUGUUUUCAUAUACCCCAUAGUAUGUAACAGAAUGUAUCAUUGGGCCUCGUGCCUAUAAACUAUAUACAACUUUCAGCAACGGAUCUCUUGGCUCUCGCAUCGAUGAAGAACGCAGCGAAAUGCGAUAAGUAAUGUGAAUUGCAGAAUUCAGUGAAUCAUCGAAUCUUUGAACGCACCUUGCGCUCCUUGGUAUUCCGAGGAGCAUGCCUGUUUGAGUGUCAUUAAAUUCUCAACCUUACCAGCUUUUGCGAGUUCGGUAAUGGCUUGGAUGUGGGGGUUUUGUGCCGGCUUCCUAGUGAAGUCAGCUCCCCUUAAAUGUAUUAGCCGGUGCCCUUUGUGGACUGUCUAUUGGUGUGAUAAUUAUCUACGCCGUGGACUUCUGCUUUGAAUAGGUGCACUGCUUCUAACCGUCUGUUCAUUCGGACAAUACUUGACAAUUUGACCUCAAAUCAGGUAGGACUACCCGCUGAACUUAAGCAUAUCAAUAA
rnacentral:rRNA from 1 species